UGGGGAAUUUUGGACAAUUGGGCGAAAGCCUGAUCCAGCAAUGCCGCGUGUGUGAAGAAGGCCUUCGGGUUGUAAAGCACUUUUGUCCGGAAAGAAAUCCUUGGCUCUAAUACAGUCGGGGGAUGACGGUACCGGAAGAAUAAGCACCGGCUAACUACGUGCCAGCAGCCGCGGUAAUACGUAGGGUGCAAGCGUUAAUCGGAAUUACUGGGCGUAAAGCGUGCGCAGGCGGUUUGCUAAGACCGAUGUGAAAUCCCCGGGCUCAACCUGGGAACUGCAUUGGUGACUGGCAGGCUAGAGUAUGGCAGAGGGGGGUAGAAUUCCACGUGUAGCAGUGAAAUGCGUAGAGAUGUGGAGGAAUACCGAUGGCGAAGGCAGCCCCCUGGGCAAUACUGACGCUCAUGCACGAAAGCGUGGGGAGCAAACAGGAUUAGAUACCCUGGUAGUCCACGCCCUAAACGAUGUCAACUAGUUGUUGGGGAUUCAUUUCCUUAGUAACGUAGCUAACGCGUGAAGUUGACCGCCUGGGGAGUACGGUCGCAAGAUUAAAACUCAAAGGAAUUGACGGGGUCAU
rnacentral:rRNA from 1 species